UUUGUUUAUAUAUUGAUAAUGACAGUAUAUAUAUCGUGUCUUGACUAAUUGCGUGCCAGCAGUCGCGGUAAUACGUAAGAGACUAGUGUUAUUCAUCUUAAUUAGGUUUAAAGGGUACCCAGACGGUCAAUAUAGCUUAUAAAAUGUUAGUACUUGACUAGAGUUUUAUGUAAGAGGGCAGUACUUGAGGAGGAGAGAUGAAAUUUCGUGAUACCAAAGGGACUCUGUAAAGGCGAAGGCAGCCCUCUAUGUAAAAACUGACGUUGAAGGACGAAGGCACAGAGAACAAACAGGAUUAGAUACCCAAGUAGUCUUUGCAGUAAAUGAUGAAUGCCAUAGGUUAGAUUGAUCAAUUAUAGUCUAGGGUUAGUCUAGCAAACUAAUGCCCUAUGAUAUAAUUCAAAAUAUCUGGUCUAUAAAUGAAAGUGUAAGCAUUUCACCUCAAGAGUAAUGUGGCAACGCAGGAACUGAAAUCACUAGACCGUUUCUGACACCAG
rnacentral:rRNA from 1 species